UAUCACAGACUUUGGAUGGGAC
rnacentral:miRNA from 1 species